GUGGAAAUUUCCAGAAGCUAUUUGACGUGCGAUGAUUUCAUCACUCUGUUAAUGAAUAAAACACCAGUGGAUGAAUGCUUGUGAUUUUUAGUACCUCUUAUUCUACGAGUGUUUUAGGUUCUCUCCUAGACUCUGGCGUCUGUGGAGUUGGGUCAGAUGCUCUGAUGCUCCUUCACACAGAGGGACAGCGAAGCGUGGAGAAGCGAAUGUGAGGAGCCGGGGUCUUGACUCUUUCCAGUGCUUGCUUUGAAUUAUUAAGCAAUGGGGCCUUUGGGCAAAGAAUUAUUUAAUUUCAAAGGAAAUAAGAGAAAACCAAAACAGAGAGCCAUGCGAUUAAUGGACUUGGUUGAUGUGUUGGUGCAGCUCUGGGUUUGAGCACAUCACACCCACCCACUCACCUCUGUGAAUUCAGGAAUGAAAUGGAAACUGGCUUCUGUGUGGGCACGAGGACGGACUCAAGGCUGUGACGGGAAACGCUCAGGCCAUGGUCAUGAAGCUCUUCGAUGUGGGGUCACAUCCACGUCCUAGGAGACACACGGCUGACUGUAGCAAUGGACUGUUUGGAACAGGAGAGGAACUGAACAUAUGUUCUGUGACAUUUAGCCUUGACAUUUCAACAGCAAUUGACUGCGGUUUUAAUUUUUCCCAGUAAAAUCAGCAAGCAGAAAAGAAAAGACUCCUACGGCUCGACAUGAAUUGUGUAUCCGUGUGCAGGUAUUUUCCAGAGCUAUUGCAUAGGGGCUAAAGAGUCUAUUUUAAACAUUUGCCAGGGGCCCUCUUGGGAAACUUUUGACAGAGUUUAGAUAUAAUUUCAUCGCUGAAGAGCAGCAAUCAUUAACAGGAAAACAAUUCAAUGAGAUCAAGCACCCUGAGAAAUGUCAUCUAUUUCCUCUCAUGCUAGGAACCAUUAUGAGAACCACAUGUUACGAUUAGAAAAUAUACGUAACCUGAUAGUCCUUCCAAGGCACUCGGGAACUUGAAAUGGUGUGGUUUCUGAGCUGCCCCCAGGGCCCUGUGACAAGGACUUUUGUCACUGUUUGUCACAGAACUUUCGGUGUGCAUGUGGACGUUGCAUUUUUUUUUUUUUUUUACAGCUGUAAUUAGUUCAUUACUCCUGCCUAAACCUCUCGAAACUGGUAUUACAGGUAGUCACCACCUGAUGCCACACAAUUCUUCUGGCUUCUUUUGUAAACACAUAUUCAAAUAAUCAUAGUAUUCCGAAUGGACAGAUUUUUUUAAUGCAGAUUUUAUGCAGAAUCAUUUGCAAAAGCAUACUUUCCAUAUAGGGCACAUAUAGGAACUGAAGCAAGCCCUGCAUUUCCGUCCAUGACAGCACCCACGCGUUAGCAUGGGUGAGAGAAGCAGUCACCAGGAGAGCGUUUGUCUAGCUUUUGGAAGGCGCUGGCUGGGUUCCAUUCUCCACACCAGUAGGAUGAGGAAGAAACCACACAGCGAGUUCUUAUACUCUUAGCUACUCUGGAAGCUGAGGCAGGGGGAUCAUGAGCUUGGAGUCACCUGGGCAGCACAGCUGCACAGCACAGUAAGGCAGUGGAGCUGCUCUUGGCUGUUACCUGUCUAGGUAACGCGCACACAGGGUUCCUUUGUUCUCUUUUAUUUAAUACUGAGUUAUUUCAUAGCAUCCUGUCUUAAACUCUCAAAUGUUAAGAUAUGGAGUGUAGGUUUUUCAGUAAUUUGCUGAUUGUUCUUCCCAUCUGGAUAGUCUUGAAUCACCUGCUUUUUUUUUUUUUUUUUUGUAAUUUUGGGAUUUUGUUUUUCCGUUCUUAUUUUUGUUUUGGAUAUAGGAUUUUACUGUGUGCCCUAGCCUGACCUUGAGCACUAAAGGAGUUUUCCUGCCCUAGAUGGGUGGGAUUACAGGCAAGCACCAGCAUGUGCGGCAUAAUUAAGAACUUCUAUGUUUUUUUAAAACUGUUCUACUUCCUCAAUAUUCCUUUUUAAAGAUUUAUCUUCAGAAUUUAGAUUUGAAAAACAUAAAAAAUACAUAAUUAUGAACACUGUCUUUUCUGACUUCCUGUUCCCUUUCUUUCUCUGUCUCUCUCUCUGUCUGUCUCUCUGUCUCUGUCUGUCUCUGUCUCUCUCUGUCUGUCUCUCUGUCUCUCUCUCUCUGUCUCUGUCUCUGCUUCCCGUGCUAAUGAAACAUGUCAGUCAGCUUCCUGCCUCUACUGCUGUGCCAUGGCUUCCCCACCAUGCUCUCCUCCUGGAACUGUAAGCUGAAAUAAACUUUCUUCUCAGAAAAGAAAAGAAAAGAAA